GUAACCUGCCCAGAAGCGGGGGACAACAUUUGGAAACAGAUGCUAAUACCGCAUAACAACGUUGUUCGCAUGAACAACGCUUAAAAGAUGGCUUCUCGCUAUCACUUCUGGAUGGACCUGCGGUGCAUUAGCUUGUUGGUGGGGUAAUGGCCUACCAAGGCGAUGAUGCAUAGCCGAGUUGAGAGACUGAUCGGCCACAAUGGGACUGAGACACGGCCCAUACUCCUACGGGAGGCAGCAGUAGGGAAUCUUCCACAAUGGGCGCAAGCCUGAUGGAGCAACACCGCGUGAGUGAAGAAGGGUUUCGGCUCGUAAAGCUCUGUUGUUAAAGAAGAACACGUAUGAGAGUAACUGUUCAUACGUUGACGGUAUUUAACCAGAAAGUCACGGCUAACUACGUGCCAGCAGCCGCGGUAAUACGUAGGUGGCAAGCGUUAUCCGGAUUUAUUGGGCGUAAAGAGAGUGCAGGCGGUUUUCUAAGUCUGAUGUGAAAGCCUUCGGCUUAACCGGAGAAGUGCAUCGGAAACUGGAUAACUUGAGUGCAGAAGAGGGUAGUGGAACUCCAUGUGUAGCGGUGGAAUGCGUAGAUAUAUGGAAGAACACCAGUGGCGAAGGCGGCUACCUGGUCUGCAACUGACGCUGAGACUCGAAAGCAUGGGUAGCGAACAGGAUUAGAUACCCUGGUAGUCCAUGCCGUAAACGAUGAGUGCUAGGUGUUGGAGGGUUUCCGCCCUUCAGUGCCGGAGCUAACGCAUUAAGCACUCCGCCUGGGGAGUACGACCGCAAGGUUGAAACUCAAAGGAAUUGA
rnacentral:rRNA from 1 species